rnacentral:rRNA from 1 species
CCUAAUACAUGCAAGUCGAACGCUUCUUUUUCCACCGGAGCUUGCUCCACCGGAAAAAGAGGAGUGGCGAACGGGUGAGUAACACGUGGGUAACCUGCCCAUCAGAAGGGGAUAACACUUGGAAACAGGUGCUAAUACCGUAUAACAAUCNAAAACCGCAUGGUUUUGAUUUGAAAGGCGCUUUCGGGUGUCGCUGAUGGAUGGACCCGCGGUGCAUUAGCUAGUUGGUGAGGUAACGGCUCACCAAGGCCACGAUGCAUAGCCGCACCUGAGAGGGUGAUCGGCCACAUUGGGACUGAGACACGGCCCAAACUCCUACGGGAGGCAGCAGUAGGGAAUCUUCGGCAAUGGACGAAAGUCUGACCGAGCAACGCCGCGUGAGUGAAGAAGGUUUUCGGAUCGUAAAACUCUGUUGUUAGAGAAGAACAAGGAUGAGAGUAACUGUUCAUCCCUUGACGGUAUCUAACCAGAAAGCCACGGCUAACUACGUGCCAGCAGCCGCGGUAAUAC